UACGGAGGGUGCGAGCGUUGUCCGGAAUCAUUGGGCGUAAAGGGCGCGUAGGCGGCGCGGUAAGUCACUUGUGAAAUCUCUGAGCUUAACUCAGAACGGCCAAGUGAUACUGCAGUGCUAGAGUGUGGAAGGGGCAAUCGGAAUUCUUGGUAUAGCGGUGAAAUGCGUAGAUAUCAAGAGGAACACCUGAGGUGAAGACGGGUUGCUGGGCCAACACUGACGCUGAGGCGCGAAAGCCAGGGGAGCAAACGGG
rnacentral:rRNA from 1 species